UUUACUGUGGACGUGAUGUAUAUAACUAAUCUUGCACAACAUUAAUAUAGUUACUCCUAAUUUCAGGUAGUAACUACCAGAUAUCGUAUGAAGAUUUGGGAAUGAGCAAGUGCCGGCACGGUGGAUUCCCAAGAUCCUCAGUUCCGAACAAAAACUGUGUGGACCACAAACUUCCAAGGAGAAUUUGACUGCAUUAUAACCAAGAUAGAUUUUGUAGGGAAUUGUAACUGGGGAUGAGACCGAGAUACACCCAUCUACAAAAUAAAAGUCCAUACAAUGGGUUCAUAAAGGGUCAACGCCCCUCAAUAAGCUAAAGACGCAAUUUGGAAAGUGGAAAGUCAUAACCACUGUUUACUGGGAGCUGAUUCUGUUAAUUGAAUAUAUGGAAAAAAGGUCUAGUUAUACGGGGGAUAUCUACAAUGGCACCGCUUAAAACUUGAAACUGGUUAUACGCGAAUGCGGAAUCCAAUAAUUAUUCUGAUUCUAUACUGCAGAGUGCAUAUAAAACAAGUUGUUGAACUAAUCAACAAAUGCGGUUUUAAGUAAUUACGGCAUCCAUAGUCAUAGUAUAGCCCCGAUCUGGUAGCAAGUAGUGUAACGAAGCACCCAUUUCCACCCCGAAGUUCAUACCAGAAAUUAUGACCGCACCGUACAUUUGUGAAGUCGACCAUCUUUACUGAACACCCGGUAUCGAGUUUACCGUUUCGUUGCUGAAGUUCCGGAAUUUAAUUAUUUGCUCGAUGACCGCCGAAUGCUCUCUUGCCAGGGAAGAAGGGAGUCAAUAGUUUAAGUUAAGGUUUUAGCGUCGUUAAUUAAUUAUUAACGUUGUUAGAUUCCCAUAAUAAGCGAAAACCAGGAUAGAAACGAGUUCCAAAUGGAGUUGUUUACACGUUAUCAGUCUUGCAGGCAGGUCGGGGUAUAGACAACAACGCCAACGAGAUAUCGCCCAUUGAAAUAAAACUUCCAAUUAGGCUAGGUGUUUAAUUGGAUUGAUGUGUAUUGAAGAUUGAACGCGCCUAAUUGGGUAAGCAUGCUCAAUGAAUGGCGUCUUAAUGAGUUGUAGAAAAAACCACCAGGCGGCGCGGCGUUCAAAGUUAAUGACCGCGCUUAAAAGGUGAGCAGUUCGAUGCCUAUCUUAUAUUUUUCCGAUAACUACCGGCCGAGUAAUUAAUUGAAAACCGAAGUAAUUUGCAUCGCUUUCGGAGCGAAUACCGCGACGAGUUGGAAUUUUCCGGUUUUCUUUAUAAGGAUGGUGUCCCGAGCGUGUUUCCUGAAGAGCAUCACUCUAGAAUGUUUUAGUUUUAAUUUGAUGACAUUUAAGUUGGUAAAAUUUGUCAGGUGUUUUUUUUGUGUAAAAUUUCUUCAUCUUUAGAGAUUAUUUUAAGCCUUAUUCUUGUGUUAAAAAUUGAUUCAAACAAGACAACGGACGAUACCAUUUUAUUUACACUAAUUUACUGUUAUAAAUUAAUCCAUUUCAAGACCAUUGAAUAUACGUGAUUGAAGUCUACAUCGUCGUCGUUUGUGAGUGUAAUGAGAUAUUUGUCUUAUAUCGGUAACCAAUGUUCGGUCGUUGUUUCAAAAGCCUUUUCAUUUUCGUCUGUGGUUUUGGUGUACAUUAAAUUUGAUUUGGGAAGAUUUAAUUCAAAUAGUGUUGGAGAAAGAUUUAAGGCCUUUGUAUCGUUUUUAAAAAAAAAUGUCACGAUCGUUAUUUAAAAAAAUGUCACGUGGGUUUAUGAACUCGGUAAAUUUUUAGUCUCUGUUAA